CUUGGUCAUUUAGAGGAAGUAAAAGUCGUAACAAGGUUGUCCGUAGGUGAACCUGGAGAAGGAUCGUU
rnacentral:rRNA from 1 species